rnacentral:lncRNA from 1 species
GUUUUUGAAAAGUUAAUUUUCUUCCUUUUUAUAGACAGGUGGUGUCCGGGAGAAAGAUGUCUUGCUCCAUCUUUGGAUAACAAAAAGCUUUGUGAAGCAAGCAUAAAAUCUAUUACUGUGGAUGGAAAUGGGAAACCUUUUGCAGUUGUCCUGUAUCCAGACUUUCAAGAAAAGACAAUACCUCUUCAAAGACUUCAAGAAGUAAAAUCAACUAAAGAUUACUCCAGAAGUCUUAUAUUUGAUGAUAAAGAUUUAGAAAAACCUUAUUUCCCAGAUCGAAAAAUUCCAUCUUUGGCUAGUGCUUUUCAAUUAUCUGAAGAUGGAGACUCAAUUCCUUAUACUAUUAAUAGGUACUUGCGAGAUUACCAAAGGGAGGGGGCUCAGUUCCUCUACAGACACUACAUAGAGGGGAGAGGGUGUAUUCUUGGUGAUGACAUGGGACUUGGAAAAACAAUACAGGUAAAUAUUAGUUACCUUAUAAUUAAAGAUAAGCUCAUAUGUAUAAGAGUGAAUACACUGCAAAUCUCUGUAAUGCACCUGUUACCGUAGGUUUUUGUUUGUGUUUUGUUUGUUUGUGUUUUUGUUUGUUUUUGUUUGUGUUUAGUUUGAUGGAAAGUUUUCAAAAUUGAAGACAGUGACUCAAUGUCUCAUUGUUUUAUGCUCAGUACUUUAUUAGUAUUUGGGGAAUAACAUUUUUUUUUAUUAAUUUUUAUUCUUAGAGAAAAUGCUAUAUACAAUGAAAAAAGUUAAUUAACUUCUAGAGCCCCAAGCUCUUUAAGACAGAAAUAAUAUAGCCCUUGCAAAUUGUUGUUUGGGUUUGGUGUCUAAUUCAUAUUGUGGACUAGAGGUUUGUAAAGAGAAGUGUGCUAGAUCUCCUUUCAAAAUGACAUUUAAUUUUAUAUUUAAAAGAUGUAUAAUAUUUAUAAUGUUCUUUCCCCUCUCCCAGCUCCUCUCAAAUCUUCCCCCUUUCCCAACUUAAUGUUCUUUUUUUCCUAAUAAAAGAAAGAAAGAAAGAAACAAACAAACCAAAAUAUCACCCAACCACCACCAGCACACACACUCAAAAACAAAGCAAAGAAAACCCAUGGAAUCCAUCUUGUGUUGGUCAACAACUCCUGAGCAUAAGGCCUGCCCUGGAAUGUGGUUGAUACAUCCAAUGUCACUCCACCCAUUUUCCCUCUGUGAUCAGCUGUGUGGAAAUAGCUUUUUGGUUAUGAAUGUGACUCUUCCCACUUCCAUUGGCAUGAACUUGUGCAGAUCUUCUGUAUGCUGUUGCAGUUUCUGAGCUGAUGUAUACAUCAGCCCUGUUACAGCUAGAAUAUCUGUUUCCUUGGAGUUGUCCAUGACCUCUUACAGUCUUUCCAUUUCCUCUUCAGCAUCAGUCUGAGAGCCUUGAGGGGUGGGGUGUGAUGAAGACAUCCAUUUAGUGCAGUGCUCCGAAGUUCUUCCACUCUGCACUAGCACUUUUUUAAAAGUAUGAUCCUGAAACACUCUUGUUUCUUUUUAUGUCCUAUGAGAUGAAAAAAAAAGAGGAAUGUGUUCAUCUUUUUUUUAAUGAUAAUACUUUUGUGGGGGUUGUAGUGGGGAGACUAGGCCUUUUGUUUGAAUGUUUGAGGUGCUGUUUCCCAGCCUCAUAUUUAUUCUAUAUCAUGAGGUGACUGCAUGUGAGGAAAGAUGGCCUAUAAAAGUGUUGUUUGCAGAGUUUAGAAAGGAAUGUCUGUGAAAACAAAACUUUCCCUGACUGUUUUUUUCCACCCCUUUCUGAAAUGUAGGUCAUGGCCUUUUAUUAUUCUAGAUGUGACAGAAUUAAUUUUUUUUUCUGUAAGCAAUUUUGUAAAUAUUCUACAAUAAAGCACCUUCUGAUGAUUUUCUUUGAAAUUAGUUUUGUAAAUCUUCAUUCUAAAUUUGUCAUAGAUCUGCAAAUUCUAAUUUUUAUAGACCUGUACUGUGCCAGUGGAUUGUGGUAGAGCAGGCCCAACCUUUUCCAAAUAUUCAUGUUCUCUUUGCUGCAGAGUAGUAGCCUGACUAAAGUGUUUUUCUAAUCCAUGAACCACCUUAUGAUCCUUCUUUUCCCUUUGGAUAUUAGCACAUUAUAGUUAGCAUUACUUUAAUUAACGUGUUAAGCUGAGAGAUUUCCAUGGUUUUAAUUUCCCUGUUCAUUUAGGGUGUAUUCUCAACUAAAGUCAAGUUGCCCUAGGUUGGAGUUGUUAUAUGUCUUCUUUGCUCUCACUAAUCCCAUUAAUUUCUGCCUGGCUGGACACACAUUCACACAUACACACACAUUCAUAUACACACACACAUACACAUAUUUAUUUGUGUGUGUGUGUAUGCAUACUCAUGCACAUGUGCCACAGAGGAUGGCUUGUGGCAGUUUUCCUAUGUGGGUACCAGGGAAUUGAGCUCAGGUCAUCAGGCAUGGUGACGUGUGCCUUUGUCUACAGAAGCCAUCUCCCUAGCCCUCCCUGGAUUCUUUAACAAUAACUAUUUAUUUUCUUGGUUUUCUCUGUCUUUUUCUUAACUGGAUUUUCAGUCUGUCUCCUUGUCACUUCUGUCCUUCAGACCCCUUGGUUUCAUGUUGCUGAGUGACCAAAGCAGUUACUGGAGUCUCUAGACUGUCUCAGCACCCAGCACAGUGCCUGUCUUGUCAUGGGUAGUAGAUGUGUGCUGUCUAUGUGGUUGCUUCAGUUUUGUUUUUUUUUUUAAAUCUAACGUUAAUGUAGCUGCAUCAGUUUUUAUUGCUUUCUGUUUUUAUAUUCAGUCUUCAAUUUAUAAUCAUAAUUUUCUCUGUCCUUGAUUUUUUAUCUUUUACAUAGCAUACAUAUGUUGUGUCUGACAAUCCUUGUCUUUGAAAAAAAUUUACGAUAUU